rnacentral:misc_RNA from 1 species
AAGUCGUAACAAGGUUUCCGUAGGUGAACCUGCGGAAGGAUCAUUAAAGUAAUACGCAUUGUGAGGAAAGUGCAAAAAGCACUGGAUCCAAUGUUGUAUACAAUCACCUGUUUACCUGUACCUGUUGCUUCCGUGGAAUUAAGGGUGCUCUUCCUGUUCGCAGGCUCGAGUUACCUUCCACGAAAGGACCUUAAAAAAAAAUUGUUUUGUAUUAUUGUCUGAUCUAAAAAUUUUAAUAAAAGUUAAAACUUUCAACAACGGAUCUCUAGGUUCUC